ACUUUACCAUGCGGGCAACCGUGAUAAGGAAACCCCGAGUGCCAGCACAGGCUGGCUGUCCGCCAGUUUAAAUAACUGGUGAAGAAAGGGCCGGGCAAGACCGGUGCCAGCCGCCGCGGUAAUACCGGCGGCUCGAGUGGUGGCCGCUAUUACUGGGCUUAAAGGGUCCGUAGCUUGAUAACUGGGUCCCUUGAGAAAUCCGCCAGCUUAACUGGCGGGCGUUCAGGGGAAACUGUAUUUCUAGGGACCGGGAGAGGUGAGAGGUACUGCCGGGGUAGGAGUGAAAUCCUGUAAUCCCGGUGGGACCACCUAUGGCGAAGGCAUCUCACCAGAACGGGUCCGACAGUGAGGGACGAAAGCUGGGGGAGCAAACCGG
rnacentral:rRNA from 1 species